rnacentral:rRNA from 1 species
GGAGGCAGCAGUAGGGAGUAUUUGGCAAUGGGGGAAACCCUGACCGAGCAACGCCGCGUGUGCGAUGGAGUCCCUCAGGGACGUGAAGCACUGUGGGGGGCCGCCAAACGGGCGGGCAGGAAAUGGCCCGUCCCCGAGGAGCCCCCUAGAAAGCGACUGCUAACCACGUGCCAGCAGCAGCGGUAAUACGUGGGUCGCAAGCGUUAUCCGGAAUCAUUGGGCGUAAAGAGUGAGCAGGCGGUCCGGGAAGUCCGCGGUGAAAUGCGGGGGCUCAACCCCCGCAGGCCGCGGAUACUUCCGGUCUGGGGUGCGGGAGAGGCGGACGGAACUCCGCGUGUAGCGGUGAAAUGCACUGAUACGCGGAAGAACACCGGUGGCGAAGGCGGUCCGCCAGACCGAUACCGACGCUCAGUCACGAAAGCGUGGGGAGCAAAUAGGAUUAGAUACCCUAGUAGUCCACGCCGUAAACGAUGGGGGCCAGGGCGCGGGGUCGACCCGCGUCCGAAGCAAACGCAUUAAGCCCCCCGCCUGGGUACUACGUUCGCAAGAAUAAAACUUAAAGGAAUUGGCGGGUGCCCGCACAAGCAGUGGAGCAUGCGGUUCAAUUCGUGGCUACACGUAGAACCUUACCAGGGUUUGACAUGCCGGCAAAGGCCCCGGAGACGGGGAGAUAGCUAUGCCGGACAAAGGUGGUGCAUGGCUGUCGUCAGCUCGUGUCGUGAGAUGUUAGGUCAAGUCCUCCAACGAGCGCGACCCCCGCCGCCAGUUGCCAUCAUUCGGUUGGGCACUCUGGCGGGACCGCCGGCGACAAGCCGGAGGAAGGCGGGGAUGACGUCAAGUCAUCAUGCCCCUUAUGCCCUGGGCCACACGCGUGCUACAAUGGCCGGCACAGUGGGAAGCGACGCCGCGAGGCGGAGCGGAUCCCAAAAGCCGGUCCCAGUACGGACCGGGGGCUGCAACCCGCCCCCGCGAAGCUGGAAUUGCUAGUAAUCGCGGAUCAGCCAAGCCGCGGUGAAUGCGUUCUCGGGCAUUGCACACACUGCCCGUCACACCAUGAAAGCCUGCAACGCUCUAAGUCGCCAGCCCGACCCGCGAGGGGGGGCGGCGCCCAAGGCGGGGCCG